GCUGUUCCUGGCUAGCUAAAAAGGGGAAGGAGGACACGGCGAGCGCACCCGCCGAGACUUCCGCGAUUGGGAUCGGGGCACUCACGGAGGGAGGGGCUCGAGGGGACCGACAGCUGCGGCCGCCGCCACCGCCGCGGGCCGGCAGCAUCCGCCGCCCGCUUCAGCCACGCGGGGCUGCCCGGAGGGUGCGCGCCCCCUCACCGCAGUACGCCCGCUGCGCCACCAGAGAGGCCACACCUCCGCCCACCGCGCCGCCCGCCACUCCACGCGUGUCCCUCCGCCUCGUGCCGGCGCCCUAACACCUACUCCACGACCACACGCCGCGAAGAGGACUCUCGCGGACCGCCAACAGCCUCCCCCGCCGCGCGGGCCCGUAGCUCCGCCGACUAGAGCCGGUCCACCCGACGUGUUCGCCGCCAGCCGUCGCCCGAGUCUAACGCAGCCGCCGCCGCCCCAGAUAGAAGAGGCAGCUAGUCGCUGCCGCACCCUGUGGGGACCGAGCCGGCACUUCUACCUAAAGAGGCCGAUCCGUUAGCUGAGGCGUUUAGACAAGGAGCUUGAGCGUGGUCCCUACGUAUUACGGGGACGCGGGCAAGGAUGUCCCUCCGUGUGACCAACUUGGUGACUUUCCCUCGUGUAUUUCGACGUCUCCGUUGUUGAGGUUUCCUUAGUCACACUAACGACAUUAAACUCUUCCGUGACUAUAAUGACUUCUUUAGUAAAGACGUUGUGAGCUAGAACUCAGACGUGAACGAUUGUCUCUACGUGGGUUUUGUGCUAUGAGGACUAACAAACUAACCAUUGUUAGGAGAGCGUCUUUUGAGAUUAAUCUAAGGAAAAUGAAAGGUUUAGAACUGUAAAACGUAAAAUUAAUAAUCGGAUAUACGUGCCAUAGUAUCUUUUAAUAACGAUUACAGAUGUAACCUUUCCUAGGUUUGAUAUUUGUUCAUUAACCACUACAAUAGGUGAUCCCGAAAGAAAGUGUUGAGUGACGGCUACAACAAUUAAAUAGAACGUAGAGGCGGAGGAACCGUAAUAGGAAAAACAUCAAUUCGUACUUGUACUAAAUCUACGAGUAUAAGUCCAUCGUAAGAACCCACUCGAUAACUAAAAACAAAGUCACGCUCUGUUAAAAAAUUAUAAUAAUAAAACGAGGAGUAAAACAGAUCCAUCGUAUCCUAAUAUGGUGGCUAUUAAGAAUAAUCCUAAACGACGUGUUGUUCGUACCACGUGCGUGUACGGACGUAUAAACAGUUAUAAGAUAGUCUUCGUCAAACGACGCGUGAAUUCACAUUGUCUUCCACACGAUGACAAAGGUGUAGAGGAACACGCUUAGUGAUUAUAAAAAAAGGUUCAGAAAAGAAGGAAAAACAUUACUGGGACUUUAUCAAAGUCGUAACCUCAGUCAAAGAAGCAACAGAAGUCACAAGAAUACCGCUUCCUUCAGGGGCCAAACAUAUCCGCUAACACACGUGUACUUAUAAAAAGUAUUAUAUGUUAAUUUAAAAUAUCAUUUGUGAAGAUACUACCACUUCAAAAAAGACCUAGACUGGUUCUACCUGUUACAUUGGACCCUGUUAUGAAACAUAGUAUCCUUUAAAAGGUUCAGAAGUCACAAGAAUAGAAGCUGUAUAAGUCACAAGAAGGGAAGUCCUAGGGACAUUAAAAAAAAGUCGUACUGAAUCGUGUCAAUUGACUUCUACAAGGCAGUAGAUUUGUACGAUUACCGGUUCGUUUAUAAGUCCAUAUGGCCUUUGGAGACAUCGAUAUGUUUAUAUUGAACCAUCGUGUGAAAUGACAUCAUUCUACAAAUAUACGUUUUCAUAAUUUUUGACUAUAUGGUUCUGAUGGCACUCAGUACGUACAGGCACGGAAGGUCCACUACACGGGUUGUAAGAAGACGUGUUCUUACCGAUACCCUCGACUCGCACUUGGUAUAUAUAGUGAAACUAAUUUCAACCCAUUAAACUCCACACGGACGACCAAUACGUUUUCUAUAUAAAACAGAUCGUUAACAAAAGAUAACAACACCAAUUCGAACUUAGUCUAAAACAACAUAUGAUACUUCUCAAUGUCGUUGUACUUCUCUGACCUAAAAGAUGAGAGCCCACAUGAUGUGGGCUCAAUCGUUUUUGAAACUUUUUUCAAAUAGUUUGCUUUAGGUUUUUUAGACUUUAAAACGAUGUAGUUUGAAAUAGUAUACAAACUCCAAGCACAGUUCAAAGUAGCUUUUUAUUGUAGGCUCCUCGAGAGUGGCUUUUUUUGUUUUAGCGACGACUUUCAAAACACGUGACAAACUCGUCACUAAAACAAUAAAAACCACUCUCGAGGAGUCUACAAUAUAAAUCUACUUUAAAACGUUCCUGGAGUGUGUAGACUAUUACAAAAUACAGGGUUUUCAAAUCUAAAAAACCUGUUACAAACUAGUGUAAAAAAGUUAGAAAACGAUUGAGCCCACAUGAUGUGGGCUCUCAUCGGUGAUGAAAGGCGUUGUACUUCGACAGUGUGGUAGAGUGAAACCUACGGACGUCCGACCUCGGCUCAGCGCAAACCAGUGUGUAACCUCGACAAGAACACUUGAACCCACUACUCGCCCACCGUAAACAUGGAUUUCCCAUAGCUCACAGCUUACAAAAAAAAUAGAGGAAACAAUAAGACUAACACGCUAAGUGUAAUAGUUAGUAAGCUGUUAAUAUCAAAACUACAAUAUCAAGGUAGAGUUAGUAAGUAAACUCUAAAUGUAUAUAUACUAAACACGUGUCCUACUGGUUUAUGACAUCUCCUUGAAAAAUUAGCUACUACCCUUUAGUACCACCAAAUACUAGGAACGUUCGCAUACUCUUAUAGAAACGGUGUAGUGUCCUGUUUGUUAAACUUUCUCUCAACAUCACUUUCAACCGAUAGUACUACACUUGAACGUAUAAAAUUAGGUUUGCUGCAUAAACUUAAUACACAAAUCACAGGAAACACUUAUACACAAACGUGACACCAGUAAAAGGAUGAUACAUACCAGAUGUGAACGUUACGUUUCGACAUAUCUUAUCCUGUUCUAGUAAAGGGACGAGGUAAUGAACGUACAGAGGAAAUUAGGAUAAAAUAUAAGAAGAGAUUUUUGUCGUCACGUUUUAUAUGAGGUAG
rnacentral:rRNA from 1 species